GCACCAGUGGUGUAGUGGUAUCAUGCAAGAUUCCCAUUCUUGUGACCUGGGUUCGAUUCCCGGCUGGUGCA
rfam:Tauraco erythrolophus contig21860, whole genome shotgun sequence.